rnacentral:lncRNA from 1 species
AUGGGAAGUCAUGGAAGAUUCUAGAUAGCCUUGUGCAAAGUAACCCGGUGCUGCAAGUGUGACUGCAUGAUCAGGCUGCAAGGCAAAGUGACUAAGUCCUCUUCUGCUCAUUUUGGAAUUGAGAGUUCAAGCCACUUGUCACUUCCAACCUACUGGGUUGCUUCUCAGCUCUUGAACUGUACAUGGAGAUUCCUAAUUCUUCAAGAGAAGAAAUUCUGGAUGCAUGUGUGUGCUCUGACUGUGUCUUCUGAACAAAGGCAAAGGGCCUCCCUAAAGCCUUGGUCUCCAUGUCCUGAGGAGCACUGGCUGAAAUGCAUUUGAACUCAUGGUAGGGCAUGUGUUUGUGCUCUCAGGAGGAAAUGAACUUUGCUUUGAAGUAAUGUUACUGGUGCCAAGUACAACAUCAACAGGGCAAUGUAAAAAGUCUCACUGAUAUCUCUUUCUAGUCCUGGAUGAUCAUCUGAGAAGGGGAUUCCUCUCUGCAGUCAAGAACCAUAUGAGCUAACAAAUAUCAUGUUAUGGAAGAACUUUGCUCACAGUCAUAGUUGACUUUCUGUUAUGAAACCUGAUUAUAUUAUUCAAUUUUCUUGGAGAAAGGCCUCAGUCUUACUGAAUUCUUUUUUUGACUUUUCUUACUCUCUGUUCAGAAAUUUUUGUUAUUGUAUGCAUUAAACAUCACAUGUUGCAAAAUAGGCAUGUAUAUUAAAUUAAAAAUAAAUAAAUCAAUAAAACAGGUAUGGUAGUGUAC